rnacentral:tRNA from 1 species
GGGGAUUUAGCUCAGUGGUAGAGCGCUUGCCUAGCAAGUGCAAGGCCCUGGGUUCGGUCCUCAGCUCCGGGGGGGGGGGGGGGGAAGCACUGACUGCUCUCCCAGAGGUCCUG